rnacentral:lncRNA from 1 species
GAUGGGCUUUACAAAACAGGGGCGGUACUAGUUUCUUUCUACAUGUUCACGGAAGCUAUGUUACCGUGCACUGUCUGAGAUUGCAAAAUAAUUACAAUUGCUGCUUCUGAUGAUUCUUCUUUCCAACUAGAGCUGGGCGUCAAAACAUGUUUUUAUGUUAUUUUACAUAGGGACAUACAGCCCUAUUCAUUUGAGCCAGAAUACACUGAAGAGGAGUUGAUACAGCGAGCACAAUAAUUGUAAGACCAGCAAGCAGUGACCGCUGCAGCCACCACCGCUGCUCCUGAUCCUGAGGAGCCAUGGUCAGACUCCAACUGGUGGUGCCUAUGCGGGUGUUGUCCAGCCAUGCCGACAGACGAGAAAUGCCUGGGCUGCAACGAAUUCGAUCGUGGACAGUUCUUACUGGAGAGGGCCAUUGCAGACACCAUGGAUUGUGUAUGUAUGGCAGACCAUCGAGGGGUGCUGGAGACGUUCUUCAGCACCCCUGCGUUCAUCCACCUCUGGUCUGCUGGCCCCCUACCUCUGCGGAAGCACAGUUCCCGCUCAGCCCAGUCAAAACUGUUCGCUGCUCUGGCACCCCAAUGGUGGAACAAGCUCCCUCACGACGCCAGGACAGCGGAGUCAAUCACCACCUUCCGUAGACACCUGAAACCCCACCUCUUUAAGGAAUACCUGGGAUAGGAUAUAGUAAUCCUUCUAACCCCCCCCAAAAAGAUAGAGAUGUACAAUUGUAAAGUGGUUGUUCCACUGGUUAUCAUAAGGUGAAUGCACCAAUUUGUAAGUCGCUCUGGAUAAGAGCGUCUGCUAAAUGACGUAAAUGUAAAAAUGUAUAUGUUCAGAACCUUCAAGAUCAACUGGAGGCGGCAGCCUAGACCAGCUGGACCAGGAGGGCAAAUGUACAACCCUGCUUGGUGGCCUACAUAUUAUUUUUGGAGUUUUCUCUAUGUGGGAAGCACACCUAAUCCCCUUGCCUGUGUAUGUUGUUGGGGCCAUUUGAGCAAUUUAUCCCUCACAUGAUGGACAGUAUGUUGGACACAAAUAAAUUAAUGACUCUCAUGACGAGAUUGAAAAGGUUCCAUAACAACAAUCUCCCCUUGUAUCAAAGUGACUCGGAAAACCUCACUGCACACCCCUAAACACACCAUAUGCACGUAUUCCUUUUGUGAACUGUAGUAUUUAUUCUAGGCGUUAGUAGAAUAUUUUUGUUUAACUGUAUAUACCGUGAGCUCCAAAAGUAUUGGGACAGUGAACAUUUUUUGUUGUCAGUUUGGCUCUGAACUGCAGCGCUUUGAAUUUAAAAUUAUACAAUGACUAUGAGGUUAAAGUGCAGACUGUCAGCUUUAAACCAUAUCGGCUGAACCGUUUACAAAUUACACUACUUUUGUACAUAGUCCCCCCCCCCAUUUUAUCAGACAAAAAGUAUUGGGAGAAAUGCACUUAUGUGUAUUAAAGUAGUAAAACCUUAAAUAUUCGGUCCCAUAUUCAUAGCACACAAUGACUAUAUCAAGCAAAUUUGUUGGAUGCAUUUGCUGUUUGUUUUGGUUGUGUUUCAGAAUAUUUUGUGCCCAAUAGAAAUGAAUGGUAAAUAAUGUAUUGUGUCAUUUUGGAGUCAUUUUUAUUCAAAAGGCACUCGCACAUCUGAGCUAUCUUUUUUGCAGUGUGCGGCUUCCUUAUUUUU